UUGCAGAUAAUGAUGGGGUUAUUGUGAACCCAAAAUGCGAGAUGAAAGGAUCUGCUAUCACUGGACCUUUGGCCUAGGAUUGGGGAAAUUCAGAGUUUUGUGUGCUCCUUAUUUAGGUCUACCUGAUGCAGUUUUGUACCUGAACAUCUAUUGUAAUGUACUUGCGAGUUAUCUGUUUCUGAAAUGCUAUAUGAUAAUUGAACUCAAGUGGAAAGUUUCUGAAAUGCUAUAUCGAGUUGUCUGCCUUGGGCUCGGACUCCA